AGAGUUUGAUCAUGGCUCAGGAUGAACGCUAGCUACAGGCUUAACACAUGCAAGUCGAGGGGAAACGAUAUUGGAAGCUUGCUUCCGAUAGGCGUCGACCGGCGCACGGGUGAGUAACGCGUAUCCAACCUGCCCAUCACUUGGGGAUAACCUUGCGAAAGUAAGACUAAUACCCAAUGACGUCUCUAGAAGACAUCUGAAGGAGAUUAAAGAUUUAACGGUGAUGGAUGGGGAUGCGUCAGAUUAGCUUGUUGGCGGGGUAACGGCCCACCAAGGCUACGAUCAGUAGGGGUUCUGAGAGGAAGGUCCCCCACAUUGGAACUGAGACACGGUCCAAACUCCUACGGGAGGCAGCAGUGAGGAAUAUUGGUCAAUGGACGAGAGUCUGAACCAGCCAAGUAGCGUGCAGGAUGACGGCCCUAUGGGUUGUAAACUGCUUUUAUAAGGGAAUAAAGUGAGCCUCGUGAGGCUUUUUGCAUGUACCUUAUGAAUAAGGACCGGCUAAUUCCGUGCCAGCAGCCGCGGUAAUACGGAAGGUCCGGGCGUUAUCCGGAUUUAUUGGGUUUAAAGGGAGCGUAGGCCGGAGAUUAAGCGUGUUGUGAAAUGUAGACGCUCAACGUCUGCACUGCAGCGCGAACUGGUUUCCUUGAGUACGCACAAAGUGGGCGGAAUUCGUGGUGUAGCGGUGAAAUGCUUAGAUAUCACGAAGAACUCCGAUUGCGAAGGCAGCUCACUGGAGCGCAACUGACGCUGAAGCUCGAAAGUGCGGGUAUCGAACAGGAUUAGAUACCCUGGUAGUCCGCACGGUAAACGAUGGAUGCCCGCUGUUGGUCUGAAUAGGUCAGCGGCCAAGCGAAAGCAUUAAGCAUCCCACCCGGGGAGUACGCCGCAAGGUUGAAACUCAAAGGAAUUGACGGGGGCCCGCACAAGCAGUGGAUUAUGUGGUUUAAUUCGAAGCAACGCGAAGAACCUUACCAGGUCUUGACAUCCGACUAACGAGAUAGAGAUAUGUCAGGUGCCCUUCGGGGAAAGUCGAGACAGGUGGUGCAUGGUCGUCGUCAGCUCGUGUCGUGAGAUGUUGGGUUAAGUCCCGCAACGAGCGCAACCCCUGCCAUUAGUUGCUACGCAAGAGCACUCUAAUGGGACCGCUACCGACAAGGUGGAGGAAGGUGGGGACGACGUCAAAUCAUCAUGCCCCUUAUGACCUGGGCUACACACGUAAUACAAUGGCCGUUAACAACGAGGAGCAAACCCGCGAGGGGGAGCAAAACUUCAAAAACGGUCUCAGUUCGGAUUGCAGGCUGCAACUCGCCUGCAUGAAGUUGGAAUUGCUAGUAAUCGCGGAUCAGCAUGCCGCGGUGAAUACGUUCCCGGGCCUUGUACACACCGCCCGUCACACCAUGGGAGUUUGUAACACCCGAAGUCCAUAGCCUAACCGCAAGGAGGGCGUGGCCGAAGGUGGGAUAAGCGACUGGGGUGAAGUCGUAACAAGGUA
rnacentral:rRNA from 1 species